rnacentral:rRNA from 1 species
UAGGGAAUCUUCCACAAUGGACGCAAGUCUGAUGGAGCAACGCCGCGCGAGUGAAGAAGGUUUUCGGACCGUAAAGCUCUGUUGUUGGUGAAGAAGGAUAGAGGUAGUAACUGGCCUUUAUUUGACGGUAAUCAACCAGAAAGUCACGGCUAACUACGUGCCAGCAGCCGCGGUAAUACGUAGGUGGCAAGCGUUGUCCGGAUUUAUUGGGCGUAAAGCGAGCGCAGGCGGAAGAAUAAGUCUGAUGUGAAAGCCCUCGGCUUAACCGAGGAAUUGCAUCGGAAACUGUUUUCUUGAGUGCAGAAGAGGAGAGUAGAACUCCAUGUGUAGCGGUGGAAUGCGUAGAUAUAUGGAAGAAUACCAGUGGCGAAGGCGGCUCUCUGGUCUGCAACUGACGCUGAGGCUCGAAAGCAUGGGUAGCGAACAGGAUUAGAUACCCUGGUAGUCCAUGCCGUAAACGAUGAGUGCUAAGUGUUGGGAGGCUUCCGCCUCUCAGUGCUGCAGCUAACGCAUUAAGCACUCCGCCUGGGGGAGUACGACCGCAAGGUUGAAAC